rnacentral:snRNA from 1 species
GUUCUUGCUUCGACAGAACAUAUACUAAAAUUGGAACGAUACAGAGAAGAUUAGCAUGGCCUUUGCACAAGGAUGACACGCAAAAUCGUGAAGCGUUCCACAUUUUU